AAGCUGAUGGUGUUUUCCUUGGCAUUUGUUACCUGAUUUAGAUAGAGGUGGCUUAAGCUUUCAAGAGAACUGAGAUCUCUUUUCUUUGGCUUGUACUUUCUCCCAACUCAAGGGCAGCUAUCAUCACUGGCUGCUAGAAACCCCACUCAUCUGGGGUGUUUUCCAUCUCUCCUGCUUUCAGGCAGAUCUGUGCCCUGGGCAGAGCAGCCUUCUCCUGAUUAUCAGCUGUGGCAUCAAACCACCAAUGCCCGCAGACUAUGCUUACCCCCUCCCAUAGGUGACGAUUUCAUUCCUUAUCCUGGCUGAGGCAAGGAAAAAAAGCCAUCUCCUGACUCACUUUCAACUUUCCAAAAUGGUGCUUCAGCAAACCUACUGGACGGAUCUGGGAAUUAAUCUGUGAUUCUGCAAAGCAGUCAGAAGUGUGGAGAUGUGACAAAGAGUUGUCCCAGAUGUUCAUGAAUAUAGGCCAUGAGUACACAGUAGGUGCUCCAUAGUGGCUGGUUGGGAGUUGCCUUCAGGGCUGAGCUCUGGGAGGCUGCCCUAUAAGCCAGUAUGUGCCUCAAAGGUGGGCCCGCCCUGCUGUGUUUAGAGGGGGCAUGGUGUAGUCAGUAGGAGUGAGGACCUGCAGCCAGAUGACCUGGCUCUAUCACUUAUGACCUUGGGCAAGUUGCUUAUCUGCUCUGUGUCUCAGGUUCCUCAUCUGUAGAAUGAUAGUAGUAAUAGUACCUACCUCAUAGAGUUGUUAGGAGGAUUAAACAGGUUAGCACGUGUAAAAUGCUUGGGACAACUAAACCUUGGCACAUGGUGCUAAUUAUUAGAAGCAUUAUUAGUACAUAGUGCUAUCAAAGGUCAUUACCACUUGGAGCCCCUUGCCCUGGGACCCAUGCUUUAGAGGGCCCUGCUCUGGCCCUCUCUUAUGUCCCUUUCCACAGGGUAUGGAGCUCUGAAGGGCCAAGAACACAGGCCCAUACCCCUCCUUCUAGACCAUUCUUCAGUGGUAGCCAGGACCCUGGAAUUCCCUGCUUAGACAGUCUAGAGCUCCCAGAACCUGUGUGGACACUUUCCCUGGGUCUGCUUCCUAAGGGUGGGCCCCACUACCCUGUGAACCCUCAGGUGUCCAAGAGUGACUGAGGUGAGGGUGUGGACAGAACCGGGUCCUGAGGACUUCAGUAUCCCACCACAGCUACACAACCAUGGUGGGAUGCUGAAGUCCCCAGGACCAUAUGCAUGUGGACCCUUGUGGACCUUGAUGGUGUCGACACCGAUGUGUGUGCCAUCCUUUGCCCCGUAGUGCAACAUGUCUUUUAUCUACCAUUUGUAGAUUUGGUUUGUAACUUUUAAAUAUUUAGUCAUAUGAUAGGUGGGCUUUUUAAAAAAUUUGCCUGAGGCUCUGCAGAUUUUAAGAGUAUACCUGGUGAUAAUAAUCUUGCUGGUAAAGAAUGAGAUCAAGAAAGGUCGCUCUGAGUUGAAGCUCUAGUGACAGCAUCUAGAAGUGAUAGUAUUACUGUAUUGACUUAUGUUCACACUUCUCCAUCUACUCACUUUGGCCAAGUGGAUGAAGGGGAAAGUGUUGGAAACUUAGCUGCAAAGAACAAGACAAAUGGUGUUUGCAGAUAUGGCAAGGGUUCUGGAGUCUGCUGCCUAGUGCAUUCAUCCCUUGCCCCGGUUAACUAUGAGUUCACCAUGGAUGUCCUCUGCUCACCACCUGCUGCUGCUCUUAGGGACAGCUCUUAGCUCCUUCUGUUUUCAUCCACCCACCUCACUUCAGAUUCUGCUGGAAGCUUGUGUUUUUGCUAUAUUAAACCUCCCUUGAAGUGGUCCACAGGAGCCCAUCUUCAGGACCCCUGUUAUCCAAACGAGCACUGUUGUCUGUACGUCUGGAGUUCUCACCAGCCACAAUCAAUCCAAAUAAUUCACAUUAACACAAACAGUUAUAUUUCCACACAAGUUGGAUUUGUUCUCUCAUUUCACUCUUCUGCCUCCGCUCUCCAAAUGAUCUUCAGCUCAAUGUGCUCUCGUUUCAACAUGAUAUACAGCACACUGAAUGCACCUGAGCCUCGACCCGUGUUCCCACAAUUGCUGGGCACCUUGCUAAGGGGGCGUGGCACAGUCAGCCCGCAACUGUGAUGAAAGAAAGCCUCCAGGCAUCGGAUAUGGUGCAGUGUGAUGGAAAGCACACAGGCACACUUGUGAGUUUGAAUGCCUGGCUCCACCACCAACUUGCUGUGUGUCUUUGGACCAGUUACUUAACUUCUCUUGAGUUGUGGGUUCUAUGUGUAUAAAAUGAGGAAAAUAAUGCUGACCUUUCGGCUGUGUGAGGAUUUAAAGAAAUGUCAUAUGUAAAGCCCCCGGCACAGCACCUGGCACAGAGAGAUUCUCAAUAAAUGUAAAGACAAGGACUUGAUUUAUCUUUGAUUCUCGGCAGCCCACCCGGUGCCUCUCACAAUCCUUAUUGGUUUUCACCUUUAAGCUGUGAGGAGCUGACUUUAUGGGAGGGAGUGGGCUGAAUUUAGAGGCACAAGAAACAGUAGAUCCACAGACUGAGCCCCAGACAGAGCUGCCUCUCUUGACGCAUCUCUCAUGCUUAGCUUCCCUCUUUUGGCUGGAAAUGUCACCCUUGAAAUUCAGGCUUACAUCUGAGCUGGGCAGAAGCUCUGUGGGCCUGGGGAACCAUGCAUAUGUUCAGCGUAUUGCCUUGGCAAGGCUUCAGGGAGUCUCGUGUGGCCACUUACGACACGCGUCCUUUAUUCUUUUGACCACUUAUGUUAGAACUGCUGAUGCGCUUUAAUCUCUUGGAUGAAUAUUCAUUCCUGUCUGUCCAAGAGAGAUGCGUAAUAGAAGUGGAAAUGCAGAAACUGUAAAGGCUUGUAAAUGGCAAAGAGGAGGAAAUCGGCUCUCUUAGGGAGGCAGCUGGAAGAAGGGUUAAAGCGGGGUCGGCUUUCAGCCGAUGCUCUCCUGGACAAAUGUAGAGCAUGCUAAUGGGCUGAUUGAUUCUUGUCGCUCUGGGAAAUCUCCCACACAGAGAACAGAGGCCCGAUCUGGGCCUCAGAUUGGCUGUUUGUUCUUUAAAUGUGAUUGUGGGUAGAUAGGGCUUGUUUUUUACCCUGUGCGUUGUCUCCUUUGGAAUCUCUCAUGUCAAAGGAAGGUAAAUAUCAGGUACUCAUAUGUUUUGCUGUUUGUAGCAGAUGCCACUGAAGAAAUUGAAGACGGCUGGGUGUGUUGAAAUCAUUUUAGCCCAACAGGGCUGCUUGGAGUAAUUUCCCUGGAAACCUAUGAAAAGGGUUUUCAAGUUGAACUCGAGACAGUUGUAAAUGUGUCCUUUUGUUGGAAAGCAGAAGGUGAAUGCUAAUGCUGAGAGGGACUUGGGGAGCCAAAUGAGUUCUUGUCUUCAAAGCUCUUAGAAGCUCUGCUUUCCACUCCUCUCUCUCUCUUCUACGCCUACUUAGAGUACCAUUUGAAGCCGGUUCUGUAGGAUCAGAACUCGAAAGUGUGAGGCCUGUCCUGUGGCCGGCAGACAGGCAGAGUGACCCUGGGCCAGUCAGUUCACCUCUGCCUCUUGGGCCUGGUGUCUGCAGAAUCACAAAAUGGACUGGUGUGAAGAGGUGCACAACAGCAGAGGAGCCGAGGAUGGGACACUGGGAGCGGAAGUGGAGAAACAAAGGCCUAGCUGUCAAGUGUCAUGGUUCUUGCCACAACUCAGUCACCACCUAGCUGCCUCGAAGAAUGGAGCUGCGGUUCUCUUACAGAGUCCAUGAGGUUUGCUUCAGAGGACCACCUCAGUUCUGCCUCCUUCCCUCUCCAGUCUGAACCUGACUCUGGGCCCAGCACCCCUGCCCCUCCCAGUUGCCUCAUGUCGGGUUUGCUCACCCUUGCCCGGAUUUUUAAGGUGAGCAGUUCUGUGGGACUGUCUGCUUGGCUUUCCGUUCCAGCUGUGCUCCUGACUGUCUUUUAGACCCCACUUGACUCAACCUCUGUGCUCUUCCCAGAUAUCCAGAAGCCCUGCUGUGUCCAGCCCCUAGGUCCCAAUUCAUCUAGGAAAAAGGUUUAAAAUAUACCAUAACCCUUUAUACAUUUAAAGGGCAUUCUUUUGACCAGUGAGACCUCCAGUGCCUUCCACGUACCUAUAAUACCCAUAGGUCUGCCACUCCUGCCUUGAAUAAAACAACUAACUGCCUUCUUGACGGAAACCUAUGCUAACAAAGUGCAUAUCCAUAGAAAAAUAAGCGCCAUUAAAACUGUAGUGAAAUGGGGACCCUAGAAGCUGCACUUUUCACAUGGAAAUUAAUGGAUAGGAGAAAUAGCGGCUUCUGCUGACGAGGAAAUGUGAUAUGGGGUGCUAAGACUAACAGCUGAUUGUCUAAAUGAAGAAAGAAAAAUGUGCCUCACAACUGAUAUUCAUCCCCUUACAAAAAAAAAAAAAGAAAA